rnacentral:tRNA from 1 species
GGAUUGUGGCUCAGUGGUAGAGCUUUCACCUAUUACCUGUGAGGCCCUGGGUUCGAUCCUCAGCACCA